ACUGGGCUGGCCCCUGUUUUACUUUUUAAAUAUUAACUCUUCUACGUUCCUCCUUAGGAAAGUGAUUUUCUUAGACCUCCAAAGCUGAGGACUUUGCCCGGGGCGAACUUCAGCAUAGCAGAUUGGUCAUUCACAUUAAUCAAUUCGACAAUAUCCACUAUGUGCCAGGCUCUGUGCUAGUUUCUGGGGAUACAGCAAUGAUCAAAACAGCUCCAGGGGAGCCUACAGUCUGAGGACAAUGAUGAUGUUCAUCAGGAGAUAAUAAACAUGUUGAAGACCAUGUAUGAAGGCCCAUGUGCUAUGUGAGCUUCUAACAGGCAAUCUGCCCAAGGGGAGAUCAGGAAAGGCUUCCAUUUAAGUGGAGAUUUGAAGGAUGAGGCAGGAAAGAGCACUCCAGGUUGAUGAGACAGCCUGUGCAAAGGCCCUGAAGCUCUGAGGAGGCCACUGGUGGAAUUUAAGAAACUGGAAGAAGGCUCAGAUAGCCAGAGAGCAGAAACAACAACGCAGUCCACGGGGUGACCAUGGGAGCAGGAGGACGGGUGAGAUGCGGUGAAGGGGACAUGAUCGCACACAGGGAGAUUGAGGAACCAGAAGGCCAGCGUGCUGAGCAUCCCUGUGGACACUGGAGUCAGGAUGACAGCUGGAGUGGCAGGACAAGGAUGAGUCCAGAAAUGAAAUGCCACGAUGUAUACCUAGAGAGACUUCUUUGAUCAGCUCAGCAGCAGCAUGGCAACCUUGAACAAGUAUCCUGGUCCAGGUUGACAGAUCUCGAUGUGUCUCCACCCUGAAGAG